UUUAGAGCUGGAGAUGAUGUUCCUCCCUGUCAUUCACUAGGCCUAAUUGGCUGAUCAUUACGGAUGGCAAAACCGCCUUAGGGCUGAUGACUUCUGGAAAUAC
rnacentral:ncRNA from 1 species